rnacentral:rRNA from 1 species
UACGUAGGGGGCAAGCGUUAUCCGGAAUUACUGGGUGUAAAGGGAGCGUAGGCGGCAUGGUAAGCCAGAUGUGAAAGCCUCGAGCUUAACUUGAGGAUUGCAUUUGGAACUAUCAAGCUAGAGUACAGGAGAGGAAAGCGGAAUUCCUAGUGUAGCGGUGAAAUGCGUAGAUAUUAGGAAGAACACCAGUGGCGAAGGCGGCUUUCUGGACUGAAACUGACGCUGAGGCUCGAAAGCGUGGGGAGCGAACAGG